GAUGAACGCUGGCGGCGUGCUUAAUACAUGCAAGUCGAACGAAGAGCCUUUGUAGCAAUACGAAGGUUUCUUAGUGGCGAACGGGUGCGUAACGCGUUGGUGACCUGCCCCAAAGUGUGGGAUAACAGUUCGAAAGGACUGCUAAUACCGCAUGUGGUCCUUCAGAUUAGAUGCUGAAGGUCUAAAGCAGUAAUGCGCUUUGGGAGGGACCUGCGUCCCAUCAGCUAGUUGGUAGGGUAAUGGCCUACCAAGGCUAAGACGGGUAGGGGACCUAAGAGGGUGACCCCCCA
rnacentral:rRNA from 1 species